GGGUAAACCGGGUAAACCGGGUAAACCGGGUAAACCGGGUAAACCGGGUAAACCGGGUAAACCGGGUAAACCGGGUAAACCGGGUAAACCCGGGUAAACCCGGGUAACCCGGGUAACCCGGGUAACCCGGGUAACCCGGGUAACCCGGGUAACCCGGGUAACCCGGGU
rnacentral:sRNA from 1 species